GAUAACCUGAUAACCAGGUUAUAACCAGGUUAUAACCUGGUUAUUACCAGGUUAUAACCAGGUUAUAACCUGGUUAUUACCUGGUUAUAACC
rnacentral:miRNA from 1 species